CAGCAUUGCAGAGGAUGUUUGCUGAGCACCUGCUAUCUGCCAGGCACUGUGUUAGAUGUAGGGGAUCUUGCAACAAACAGAAUUCCUGCUUUUAUGGAGCACACAUUCAGAUGGUCAGGGAAGACCCUGCUGAGAAGCCACCAUUUGAGCCAAGACUGGAGGAGCUGAGGCUGUGGGUCAGGAUGACAUCGAGGGUGGAGCCUUCCAGGCAAAAGAACAGUGAGUACAAAGCCGGCAACAGGUGUGCUGGCAUGUUCCAGGAAAACCAGGGAGGGAGCCACAGCUGCGGCCGAGUGAGGAGAGGAGCAGCAGGAGGUGAGGCCAGAGAAGCCUUGGGGGCAGAAGCUGCGGGCCUCAUGGUUAUCAUGAAGCUCCGGGUUUUACUCUGAGUACGCGGGAGCCAUGGAGAGUUCUGAGCAGAGGAAGCACAGGACCUGACCUGGGUUUCACAGGCUUUCUCUGGCUGCUGUGUGGAAAAUAGAUCGUGUGAAAGUUUUUCGUCAUGUCCAGGCACCACCUCUUCCUGGUCAGGCCCACGUUACAUAUGAGAACAAUGGAACAAGUCAAAGGUAAAGCAACAAGUCCCCCUGUAAAAAACUAUCAGUGUAACCGUCCACUUCCAUAUCUGUCCAGUCAGUUAACAAAUAUUGACAGACCACCUUUAAACACAGGCUGCUGUGCUGGUGUCUGGGACACAGCAGUGAGUAAGAGCCAUCUGAUCUCAUGACACUCUCAGGAAGUUCCAGUCUAUGAGGAUGGACAGCAUGCAGGUCAACACAUAAACAUCAUUCAGACUGUGAAAAAUGCAAUAAAGGACACAGAUUGGGAGAUGGGAUAAAGAGUCAUGGGGGUGGAGCUACUGUCUCAUUUUGGGUGGUCUGGGAGGGCCUCUCUGAGGAAGUGACAUGUGGACAGAGUUCUGAAGAAUAAGAAGGGGCUGCCAUGGGUGAUUUGAGGGAACAGCAUGCUAGGUGGAGGGAAUAGCAAGUGUAAAGGCCAGAGAUCAGGAGGAUCAAAUAUGAGGCCAGGGUAUCCAAGAAGUCAGGACAGUGCUAAGAGAUGGGGAUGCAGAGACACUGUGAGGUGAGAUAGAAAGAGAAGGGAGUCGGCCUGGCAC
rnacentral:lncRNA from 10 species